CGAGGGUCUAAGAAAGCCUAGAAAUGUGUAUACAAAAAAGGGAAAAGAAUCAAAAAUAGCAUUUCAGUAGAAGAUAAGAAAUUCGAGCAUCUCCUUCUUUCUAACUAGUACUGCUCCAAACUUAAGCAGACAGGUGCUUGUGAUGAGUACUCUGUGGUGACACGUACCACCUGAGAAUGUGGUUGCUGACAGUUGCUAGGGAGAAGCUCAUGGAAACCAACAGAACCAAGGCAAGGAAUGUGGAGCUCUGAGAUGGUGAAGAGAAUGGAUGCAGGCAAAAAGCGAUGGAGGAGAGAUCUACACAUGCAGAUGAGAACACCUGUGAAACAAAUCCUGAGAAGGGAACUGGGGGAAGGAACGGACUAGAAGGGUUUGGAAGAAGGAGGUGAAAAUGUGGGGUGAGGAAAUGUGGCAAUAGCCACUUAUUAGAAAU
rnacentral:lncRNA from 1 species